AACGAACGCUGGCGGCAUGCCUAACACAUGCAAGUCGAACGAGACCUUCGUGUCUAGUGGCGCUCAGGUGCGUCACGCGUCGGACCCUGCCCUUAGGCUCGGAAUACCACUCCGAAAGGGGUGCUAACACCGGAUAAUGUCUUCGGACCCAAGAUUUAUCGCGUUUGGAUGGGCCCGCGUUGGUUUAGCUUGUUGCUAGGGUAAAAGCCUAUCACGGCGUCGAUCCAUAGCUGGUCAGAGGGGAUGAGCAGCCACACUGGGACUGGGACACGGCCGAGACUCUUGCGGGAGGCAGGAGAGGCGGAUAUAGGAAUAUGGGCGAAAGGCAGAACCAGCAAGGGCGGGAGAGUGAUGAAGGCGGGAGGGAUGAACAGCUCUUUUACCCGGGGUGAUAAUGACGGUACCGGGAGAAUAAGCUCCGGCUAACUCCGUG
rnacentral:rRNA from 1 species